ACACAGCAACAAAAUGUGAUGGAAUAUUUGUGGUAAGGUUCAGCCUCUACUGCCAUACCAUCAACAUCCGCCUCUGAUGUUGUGAGUCAACAUAAUAAUAUAGGAGGCAUUACUUUUGGAGCAGGCCUGACGGGAAAUAAUACUCCCCGUUGUUCUUGUGCAGGUAGUUCCUACAUGCUUAAGUUAGGAAUUUUUAAGUUUGGUCUUAAAAUACCAUAUAUCUGUCUCUGAGAGAAACUAAAGCUUCACAGAUCACAGCUGAAGACAGCCUCAGAAGAAAUGAGUGGUGAUUUGACUUUUACAACUUAUUCUUUCUGAGUGAAACUUGUUUAAGCAUGCUGGGCCUUCAUGAAAACCCUCUGCAACUCCUUAAAAAGAAUGUGAGGGGUGAGUGAAGGAUAAUUUUUUCAAUCACAGUAUGUUAUAAGUCUACUUCUUUCUCUUUUUUUCCUUUUGCAUUGUUUCCUUUUAGUAUUUUAUCUGGCUUUCUGUUUCCCUGUUUAAGAAAUCCAUGCUACAUGAAUGUGCAUUUGUCCAUUUCCAACAUGUUUGUUACUAAUAAUGAAAAGUAUUCAAACUGUAAAUGCCAAGACUUCAAUAUGUGAUUAAAGCAUUGGAAAUGAUUUAUGAAAUUAUCACUAUUAAUAGAUCUGCAAAAUUCUCAGCCAGAUUAUCAGUCAAACUUACAAUAAUUUGUACCAGCACUUAAUAUUUUUUUUUCAGACUCUACUAGUCAUGGACAGAAAUUUAUCAUAUGAUUCAUAACUAAUCAGAAUAGUGCCAGUAACACCAUGUAUUAUACAAUUAUGUAAAUUGUCAAGCAGUAGAAUCUAAAGUUAAUGCCUUAAUUAAAAGCCACAAAUGGCCAUAUGAAGUGAACUUCAAAGAUCCAUAUAUGUGAGUUAAGGGAAACCUUUUAAAAUGUUGAUUCUAUUUUUCUACCUUCCAUUUCCCUUAUUAACCUCAAAAAAGAGGCAAACUUUCACUGGAAUGCUCUUUGCCUAUCCUGCUUAUAGAAACUAUAGCAUUAUUUUGUGCCAUUGGUUGUGGAGCAGACAGAAGUGUGUUGUGUCCCUUUUUUUUCUUUUAAUUUGAGAAUCUUUGGUUUCCAUUGAAGUAUUAGUGAAGGCUGGGAGUGCUACCUUUAUAUAUGACUUGGAGCAGUCAUAAUCACCCUUUCUUUGAGAGACGGUAUGAUGCAAAUGUUCAGCAGAGGACAUGCAUUCGUGAUAUGGGAUAAUAGGGUUUUAAUUAUCACAACAUGCUUUUAAUGUUUGAGAUGUAUAAAUUCCCUGUACAUUAUUCUUAGUAACUGAAAUUCAGUAAUUUUAAAGAUUUGAAUUUUGUAUAAGUUGUUUGAAUUUAGAAGGAAAGCGUGUUGAAUGUAUCCUCUGACUACAGAAAUUAGUUACUAGCUACAAAGAGUUAGAGAAAGAGAGAGAAGAGGUGUUUCAUCAUGUGAAUUUUACCUUUUUAGUCCUGACUUAAAGUCAUCUUCAGGAGCUCUCAUACAAUGUUAUUCCUCUUUGCUUUGAUGAUGUAUUUCAAACGCAAAAACUACAACAGAUCAUCAAAGGUAGGAUUCUGACCCACACACUUCUGAAGUCAUCAUACUUAUGGAUUGCAUAUAAUAGCACACACUGUGCCCUGAUAACAAAAAGAAUGCUCUGAUAUUUUAAAAGAAAUUUCCCAUGCCUUUAGUCUUAAAUAUCUUCUAAAGUAUCAAACCAAAUCCAUCUGCAUGUUUAUUCUGAAACAAUUGCAUUAGUGAAAAAUGUGAAGAGAAAUCAGAUUUUCCAGAAGCUGAGAAGAGAGUUAAGAUUCUUAAAAAGAGAAUGGCUUGCAUAUGAGGCUAAAGAUCCUAUUCAAAGCCAGGAAGACAAUCUGGAUAUUUUCCAAAAGCAAGAUUAACAUACAUUCAAAAUAAACUUGCAUCACACUGUGAUGCUAGCAUGUCCUUUCCUUUAAAAAGCAUUGAACAGCUGAGAAUCAUUCACCUUACUUUAACAGACAUUUUUUGAGGGAAAAGGGACAAAGACAAUAUUAAUUUUUAAGUAGAGUGAGCACAAGAAAUCUGAUGCCAGUCUGCCCUUUCUGCUCCUUGGAUUGUGUUGAGCAAAUUCCCAAGACAUCGUUCUGAAUAUAUAUCCUUUCGAUUGAAAAGAAAAAAAAAAAAAGGGCAAAAACCCACCCUCUUGAAUCCUACUGUUUCAGUUCCCUGUGUUAAUCUUCUGGUUUGAUUUAGGAAUGUGCUGCUUGGUUCCCAUGUGCAUUGUUGUUGUAGUAUUUACUUUGGAAGGAAAAGUAAGUAUAUGGUUCACGCCUUAACCUUGUCAGGCUUCCCCCUUACCAACUUGAACUGACACCACAGAAAUUCUGAAAGGAAAGGCCACAGCCAAAAUUAAUCAUAAACAUUAACCAUAAAAUAUUACUCUUGACCUUACCAAGGGGCAGACCUCUAGGAAUAACAUCCUGCUCCUUAAAAAAAUAACAUCCCUCUCCAACUGAGAGGAGCAGACGGUCUCAUCUAUGCAUGACGGACAUGCUGACCUGUGCCUCAGGGAGUAACAUCUGAUUUCAACUCAGAGGGUAAUAAGCACUCCAGGUCUUACAUUAUGGAUGUCCUUCACCAAACAGCCCCAUAGAUAAGCUCUGGCAGCUUCUACGUUCUGCAAAAAACAGGGCCUGUCCAAGGUGGUGCUAAAAGGUUAGAUUUUUAUGCAAGGCCAAACAGACUAAGGCUGAAACUAGAAAAAUUAGAGCUGCCACCCCAGCUUCCAGUUUGUUUUGGCCAACAAGAAGCCCUGAUGAAAGCCAACAGUCUGUUGCUCCUUUGUAACAUUCCACACUGGUAGAUUCUGUGCUUAGCUUAUUCUUAAAGGCACAUUCCACAGAUUGGAAAAGCCAUUUUCAAAGCUAUCAAUCAGUAUGCUGUUCAGCAGCAAACUAAUUUAAGGCAAGCCUCAGAAAUCAGAAAAAUCCAGAACCAAAACCUGGUGCCCAAUGCUAAUUUUAUUUAGAAAAGAAAUAACAGAUCAAAGAGCAAUUUAUUUUAUUGGAAGUCACGGAAUAUGAGAAUUAGGUGCUUCAAUCAAGCAAGAACUGCAACACUGAAUGAAGCAUUUUCUAAAGAUCACCCAAAAAAAUCUAGGAAUGGAACAAUAAACCAGAUUGCUUCCCAGGAGAAGUUGGUAGUAUUGGCACAGACAGUGACAGAUUUCAGCAGCAAGCUGUUGAACUUACAUCAAGGAUGUACUGCAGAUAUAUUUCUGUUGUUGCACUUUUCCCCACAUUCAUUCUAUUGCAAGGACAAGAUGCAGGUAGCACCUAUACCCAUGCUGCAGAGGGCUCUCUUCAGCAUAAAAAUCUUUUGCACACAUCACCUCUCCAAGUGAUCUUUGUCUUCCUUUUUCCAAUAUAUCAGUCCCAGAUGGAAACUGAGCUACUUGGUGAGACAGGCAGGUUAAGCAGAAAGAGAACUGGAGAGAGUCAAAUAAUGUUCCUAAAUGUUGGAGCACUCAAUAAUGUGAUGUAAUUUUCAUAGAAAAUUAAAGGAAAAUUUUACUGAUAACCCUUGUUUUUCCCUAUACUGGGACAAAAAGUAAAGUUUGUCUCACCCAUUGAUGUUCAAUAAAGAACACUGAGCUUUUGCAUUUAAAUUAUUAUUGGUAACCAUAAAGCUUAUUUAAGAUCUCUCUGCCACACUGGCAUGCAGAUAAACCCACAGGAAGUGAAUGUGACAGAUUUGAUGGAGAUGGCAUAGGUUAUUGCAGUGCGAUCUGCUGAGUGAAUGACUUAAGGUGAGUAAAUAUUCCCACAGGAAUUGAUUUAUACUUGAUUUGUUCUUGUGUAGUCUUGCGUAGUCUAUUCAACAAAUAUCUAACAAAAAACUGUACCCUACCCAGAUGUCUUAUUUCUGACUACGCAAUAUGUUUUCUCAAACUGAGUAUACUUCUACUUUUACACUAAUGCCAAUACAUCACUCCUGUUAUUAAUAAGCUAUUUAUACACAUCCUGACAGCAGACUAGACCUCAUCUUUAAGAUCAGUACCUGAUGCACAUAUUUCUUCCCUCUUGCCCUCUGUUUCUUUCCACCAUCCAUCAUGCUGACUCUUACUUCCUAUCCUAUCCUGUGAAAUAGACACUACCUUCUUUUUUCACCAACAGUAAAAACAGAUCAAGGUGGUUCCAUGUGUUGGUAAAGAUAAAUGUCGAGACUAAAAUCUUUCCUUGUGGGGCUUCCAUUAAAUUUCAUUGGGUAGCAUUCACACACCUUUCAAUUAUGAUGCACAAAGGCUGGUGUUGCAAAAGGUUUUCGGAGUCUUAUAACAUCUUGCCUCUUUAGGAAAGCGCUCUUCUUAAUUGAAAUCAAAUGCCAUUUAAACCUCUAUGUUCUGUGACUUAGUUGUCCAGUCUUACGGUACGGGUGGUAUAUUUUGUCUAAGAGAAGACUGACCAAAGAUGCACGGAAUCAUGCAAACAGUACUUCAGUGUACUUGUGAUGAAUAAAGACAGUAGACUGCAUUAAAGACAUUUUCAUUCUGGAGGUGAGACAAAGAUAAUGAAGAAAAGAUGAGAGGACACAUUUGAACCUAAGGCAGUUCUCACUGGGGGAGAUUUUUCAUUUGCCCAGCUUCUCCCUUGGGGUGAGGAAAUUGGAAGUCUCUCACUUGUCAUGGUAAUGUCAUGGUAAUUUAUUAUUCUAUAUGUGUGUGUAGUGUUUUGUUCGUGGUAAUGAAUGAAAAUACUGGGUUCUGAAUAAAGGAAGUUCUGUUUUAUGAAGAACGUUGUUGUGAGAACUAAACUUGGUGGUAGAGGAGUAGGGAGGCCCUUGACUUCUGAUAACCCUUCCACGCUACUAGUGGAAGUAAAUCUGCCAGGGCAUCUGUCUAAUCAGUUGGCUGAGAACUGGCAUUUUCACCACCAGAAUAAGUCAGAAUUUCCUUCAGAGGAAAAUUGACUUUGACUUUUUGAACUUUCAGACUACUGGGCUGAUCAGAGUGAAAACAAUUGUUUAAAGACAUCAUGCAUGGGUCUGAGGGACAGAUGGCUCUCAAAUAUGCCAGAGAAUUACGAUAAGAUAUUCAGGCUGCAUACCGUAACUUUUUUUUUCUAUUUGUUUCCUUUUAAUCGUUGCUCUUUCUCUAUUGUUUGUUCCCAGUCUCAAUUGCUUUUCAUCAUUUCUCAGUAAUAGUGAAUAUAUAAGAUACUCUGCUAGAAACCUGAGACCACUUACUAAGCAGCCUUAGACUGCUUAUUAUUAUCAUGUUCACAGAGCAAUGGCCUUCUUGGACCUGAAUAUCCAAACUGAAGGCAAGACCUCCUAGAUAUUGUGGUUCCUCAGAGGCUUUCACUUGUGUCCAUCCUUUUAAAACACAUUCUGUAUACAAAGAAUCCUAAAUGCUACUUAAAGGUGAAAUUAAAGAUCUACAUAGAUUAAGCUCCCAAUGCAAGGGAAGGCUGAACUUUUCUUUCAACUCCUGCUGCUUAAUGUUGAUUUAAUAUAUUGUCUUGACUUCUAAUAAGGUUAUUGAAAGAUAAAAGCAUAUAAGGAGCUGUGCCACAGAUGCGACAGUCAGAACUUCAUAUGCAAAAUAAAAAGAGACAUUAUAGUAAAAAGAAAAUUGAAUGUUGCUUGUAUAAAAUCUGGCUUUGUUUUGAUGCAUAAAACAGCAAACAUUGUUCCACACUGAGGUUUUCAAGAAUGUCUUAAGUAUACAAUGCUUCUGAUGCCACCCCAGUUGCCUAUAUAUAGAUCUGUCUUGUGUAAAGAAUUUAAAAAGCAUUAGAAUGGAGAAAUCAAAGAGACAAUAAAUUUUAAACCAAUCUUAUUGUCUGCAGCCUUAAGUGUUAUUAAGAUCAAAGUGGAGCAAACAUCUGGCAUUUGCCUUUCUGCAAAAAUUAGAUCAAAUUACCUACCAUAGGAUUUAGAUCCAUUCGGCAAGAUCUUUCCAUUGCACACAUAGUUUUCUUUCUCCUUUUUAUUUGCUAGAUAUAUCUUAGCUUCCAAAAUUGACCCUCUUCAUUCAUUUGGAGCUAAAAUAAAUUAACAAUAAAAAUGAAAAUAUAUGUUCCUCAUGCCAUUUGUUUCCUAAGGGACAUUCAAGGUCCUUCACAUCCUAAGGAGAGAGGUUCAGCCAGUCUUCAUCGUUGGCAUUAAGUAACCUUUUCCGAUUACACACAACCCUCUAUCCCUCCUUAAAAUAGAAAGUCUUAAUGCUUACUUUUGUGUUUUCACUGUUGACUUUAUGAUUAUCACCCAUAAAGUACGUUACUAAGAAGCCUGGCAUACUGGGCCAUACUUUUCUAAACAUAGUGAAUGUAUAUUCUUCAGACUCUUAAAAUAUAUAUAAUGCCUCUUUUUACAGAGAGAAAUACAUGUAUGCUACAUCUAUAUAGCUCAAUUUUUUUAUUCCCUGGAUAGAAGAACAUGCCAAGGCAGAGUAAACUUUAGAAGAGCAAGAGAAUAAAUGAAUGGACAGAAAUAGAGGUGAAGGAAGAGUAAAGCUAAAGCCUUUAAACUGCCCUAAGAAGCAGUACGCCACAGACUGUUCAGCUCCAUUAUUUCACGAGGGACACACAUGAAGUAAAACCAUGCAGAACUUUACCAUCACCUGCCUUUCAUGGCUGGGUGCUGGCCAGCUGACCUCUUGGCCACCUGGGUGUGCUACAGGAAGCUACUACGUGCUGGCUGCUUGUGGGACUGUAUGCUCAGCUGUGUCAUUGCUGCUCCUUGGAAGGAAAGGGAAUAGAUCUGUGGAACUGUGGUCCCCAUCUGAGCAGCUUUCACUGCAAAGGUGGACAAUGCCUUUUGAGAAUGCUGCUAAGGGCAGUGAAAGGAAAUGACAAAUCCUCCUAUACUCCUGUAUAAUUCUCUGUCCCUGGAGAGAGCUUGCCGAGACUCUGUGUUGCAAAGGUGUUCCCUACUCUUUUUUUUUUUUUUUUUUUUUUAAAGUGGGAGUGCACUGAUGAAUAGGCACAAAGCUGAGGUAAGGUAUGAGGCAGGCAUGCCGAGUCCAGCUCCAACUCUAUAACCAUUCAAGUUUGAUUUGUAUUUUGAACUGUCGCUAUAUGGUUUACAAGGGUAAAAGUGUGAGUAAAGACAGAUUUUCCUUCUAUAAAUUGUGGAAGGGUAAGGGGGAAGUGACCGAUCUCAUUUAAAGACUUCAUUGAAGCCGUGUUGAAUGAUGGUGCCAUUGCCUGUCUGUGCCUCACUGUCAGAAUGUAAGCCCUUUUAUAAUUAAGAGAAGCCACAGAAGUCAGAGUAAAGUACAACAGAUCCAGAAAGAGCUGGAAACUUAAGGAAGAAAUAAAAAAAAAAUAAAAACAAUAGACAUGGACUGGAGAAGAUAUUUUAUUUAUUUGUUACUAGUAGUUAAAAUGAUGUACAAAAUGCUGGGAAGAAAAAAUUCCAAUUCUAUUCAGUUACAAAAUAAUUAAAACUUCAUUUUAAACCAAGUUUUGCUUUGUGAGACUGAGCAUGAAAACACUGCAGCCUUAGGUUAUACAGUCCAUUGUUUUUAGAAUAAAGCAGACAUUUAAAUACA